rnacentral:lncRNA from 1 species
UUAAGACAAAUAGAGAAGAAAAAUUAAAGAGGAAACAAAGAAUCAAAAUUUCAAACCUGAGUUUUCUUCGACGUUGCAGCAGGUGGAUCCUUAUUGCUUUUCUUCGUCGGGUUAAGGAUAACGGUUGCAGUGGUUGCACGUUGUCAUACCCCAAAAUUUGCCCUAAUUUUUUUAUUCAAUUCGCCUGACUUAUGGUUUUCUUCAUUUGCAUACUUUUUUUCUAUUUG